rnacentral:rRNA from 1 species
UGGGGAAUAUUGCACAAUGGGCGGAAGCCUGAUGCAGCGACGUCGCGUGAGGGAUGGAGGCCUUCGGGUUGUGAACCUCUUUCGCCAGUGAGGAAGGCCUUGCCUGUGUGGUGGGGUUGACGGUAGCUGGGUUAAUUGAAGCGCCGGCUAACUACGUGCCAGCAGCCGCGGUAAUACGUAGGGCGCGAGCGUUGUCCGGAAUUAUUGGGCGUAAAGGGCUUGUAGGCGGUUGGUCGCGUCUGCCGUGAAAUCCUCUGGCUCAGCUGGGGGCGUGCGGUGGGUACGGGCUGGCUUGAGUGCGGUAGGGGAGGCUGGAACUCCUGGUGUAGCGGUGGAAUGCGCAGAUAUCAGGAGGAACACCGAUGGCGAAGGCAGUCUCCUGGGCCUGCACUGACGCUCANGCNCNAAAGCGUGGGGAGCAAACAGGAUUAGAUACCCUGGUAGUCCACGCCCUAAACGAUGUCAACUGGUUGUUGGGAAUUCAUUUUUUCAGUAACGAAGCUAACGCGUGAAGUUGACCGCCUGGGGAGUACGGCCGCAAGGUUG